AACGAACGCUGGCGGCGGGCCUCAUACAUGCAAGUCGAGCGCGAAAGUCCGCAAGGAUGAGUAAAGCGGCGCACGGGUGAGUAACACGUGGAUAAUCUACCCUUUGGAUUGGAAUAACCUGUCGAAAGACGGGCUAAUGCCGAGUAAGCUUACGAGUUCGUGAAGUUCUUGUAAGGAAAGAUGGCGCAAGCUAUCGCCGAUGGAUGAGUCUGCGUCCCAUUAGUUAGUUGGUGGGGUAAUGGCUUACCAAGACUAUGAUGGGUACCUGGUCUGAGAGGAUGACCAGGCACACUGGAACUGAAACACGGUCCAGACUCCUACGGGAGGCAGCAGUAGGAAUAUUGCGCAAUGGACGAAAGUCUGACGCAGCCACGCCACGUGAGUGAGGGAAGG
rnacentral:rRNA from 1 species